UAUAUAUAUUGUUAGUAAUUCUACUAAUUUAAUUUUCUAAAAGAACAACCUACACUGGUAAUUAUGUUCUUAUCCUUGGCUGGAAGGACAUGGUCUUGAUCUAACCUGGAUUGACAAAUUGCUAAUGUUUAAUAGGGUUUACCACCACCGAAACGAACCGAUCACAUGUCACUAUCGUUUUCCCAAGGAUACUCCCUAUGACAUCGGUUGACCGGAACCAUCGUUUGCCUUUUCCCCCUUGUAUAUAACAGAAAAGAAAGUAACACUGAUAAGAUUUUUUCACGAAAAACUUCCCUGAUCGAUCUUCUUUGGUUGCUAAACGAACCUCAUUCAGCCCCUGGUGACUCGUUUUUAUGCACCCAAAUACAAUACGUUGGUUUUUUACCUGCCAUAGAAAAAAGAAAAACACUCGCCAUUUUUCCUAAAAGCUUUGGAAAUUAUGUUAUUAAUUGCAUGAAAAAUAAAAACAUGUAGCUCCUAUGUUUCUUCAUGCAAACAAACAAACAUACAACUCAAAAAUACGGGUAUCCGUUCCAAUUUUAAAACAACUUUCAUGUACAUGAUGACGUAGCACUUCUUGUUAGAAUAGAUUCAAGAUUAACUUCUUCCGUAUAUACUCACUCAAACCCCACUACGAAACAAACCGCUCAAAAAAGAAAGAAACCAUAGUACGUAGUAUUCAGAAACAAAGAAACCCUAGAAUCCAUCAUCAUGCGUAGACCAAGAAAUCGUUUGAGGAUUCCUCUAACAAAAAAGUGUGAGCAUUGUGAUUUUGAAUCAACAGUGGAGUUGUAUGGCGAUCAUGUCAGCCAAGAAUUGACUUCGAAGAGGCUGUUCGAGCCAGGAACUUCAAAGAGACGAGGUUUAGGAAGUUGACGGCUGAGAUAAGAAAGAAAGGGCAGAAGAUGGAUGGAUCUAAUUAUAUCUAUCUAUAUAUGAAAUUAAUUAAGUUUGUUCUUUAACGUACACUUGCCAGUGCUCGUCUUGUUGGUUUUAAUAUUUCUUGCUUGGUGUGAUACAAUUUAAUUGAUUAUAUUGGGUUUCUAUAUAUAUAUUUCUUGCCA